ACACCCAGAGCAGAAGCUAGGGCAGAGCCAAUGCUGAGGGAGCCUCGACUUCCGGCGCCGCCGCCCUCUCCCGGCAUCCGCAGAGCCAGCUGACGCCCUCCCUGCCUCCCAGGGCAGCUGGCCAGCCUCGGGCAGCGCGGCCCCCUCCUCCCAGGGGACAGUAGAAAUCGCACACGCAGCAGCAGCAGACCUGAUGUCCCGGUGCUUCCUGGCCCCUCAGCUCCAGUGAUUCACGCCCGCCUGGAGAAGAAUCAGAGCUCAGCUCAUGACUCAUCCGUGGCAGGCAGAGGGUCCCAGAGGGGCUGAGUCCUCAAAUCCGGCUGAGGCAGCAGCCGGCACCAUCGGAGCCAGGAGAGUGACAACCGGUAACCUAGACCCCACCAUCAGCUG
rnacentral:sRNA from 1 species